CCCGCACCGCCCCCGUACAGCCGUUCUGGGUGAUACCAGUGACGGACUCCACACCUUCGCUAGCAAACAGGGGCGCCGUGUCGGAGAGGGGGACUAUGCUAAGUGGGCGGAACGUGUCUUCACUGCGCUGGAAACUUACGUCCUGGACCACCCCAGCCCUACCCACUUCAAAUGGCCCCUGUUCCCCCCUCCCAUAAAGCUGCCCUGGCCACCUUCCUCGGCGACCGUUACAUUGUGUCGGUCACUGACAAAAGCUCUGCUACCCUGCAACUUAUCUGCCGUAAACACUACGUCCGUAGCUUGGUCGCUGACCUGCACGCGUCCCCUGCCUACUACUCACCCAUUACCCUUGACGAACGUGACGCCCACUACGCUUCCCUUAACGCCAUGCUGGCUAGCGCCCUCCCCUCCCAAAACCUUCGUUACGACACCACGCGCGCCGACGCCUACUAUGCCGGCACCAUUAAAAUGCACAAAUCUCCCCCUGCCAUGCGCUUCCUCGCGUGCUCCCACGCGUGCCCCUCUGUCCACAUUUCCCUCCUCCUCACCGCCCUCCUGCGCUUACUGUACCAUACCUUCCAGCGUGUGUGGGAACGGGACCUGCCUGACUACCCUGUCUGGGUGUGCGACCAGUCUGCGGGUGUUAUGGGUAUGCUGCACCGUUUCAAUGCCCGCCAAUUCCCCCCUCCGCCCCCGCCUGACGCCGCCGGCCCCAGCACGCCCCCGCCCCCGACCCCCGACCCUGCCACCCCUCCCCCCUUCGCCACCCCGCAAGCCCGCGAUUUUACCCGCUUGUAUACUAACCUGCCCCAUACCCUUAUUGUGGAUGCCCUUACCAACGUCGCCCGCGUGUGCUUUGAAUUUACGGGGCGCACCUACAUUACCGUUAGCAUCCAUGCUCCCAACCCCGCAUCCACGGACGCCAAACCCACCGCAAGCGCCGUUUUUGGCGAUGGCGCGCAGCCCUCCGCCCCCACCCGCAGUGAAAACGGCCGCGUUACCUAUUACCACCUCUCUCUUGACGAAUUUGUCUGCCUGCUGCGCACCCUGCUCGCUGCCACCGUUAUCCAGUUUGGCCCCUACCUUGUCAAACAAAUCUGCGGUAUCCCCAUGGGCAUCUCCCCCGCCCCCUUCAUUGCCAACCUAUUCCUUGCUUGGUAUGAAUAUGUUUUCUUCCGCCAGCUUCCCCACCCUGCCGCCGCCGACCCAAAACUGCCCGACCCUGCUGCCGCUGACUUCACCCAUGCCGCGCGGGACACUGCCCAUGCCUGCCUUGUCAAACGCUCCAUCUUUGCUGCUUUCCGCUGGACGAAACGAUACUUGGACGACCUUAUUUCCCUGCGCAACCCCUGGUUGGAACCACUGCUCUUCAACACCUCUGUUUUCCAUGGCCUCCGUGGCAUCUACCCGCCCGAACUCCAAAUCCCCGUCCAAUCACACCCUCUGCCCGCGCACCACCUGCCCUUCCUGGAUAUCCUGCUUAUCACUAGUGAACGCGCCGGCUUCUCCCAUAUCACCACACGCCUGUAUGAUAAACGUACCCAGGAUGCGUUUAGCCAAGUCCGCUUAUCCCGUUUUGUCCACUCUACCUCGUGCGUUAACACCUCAGCCAAACGCAACAUCUUUGUUGGUCAGUUCCGCAGACUUCAACGCGUCAUCCUUGAACCCGCAAACUUUAUUGACGAAGUGGCCGAAGUCAUGUCCCGCCUGGCCGCCCUCGAUUACCGCCCCGCUACCCUUCGCGCGCAGCUUCGCACCCAGGUUUCCCGGUGGCCGCAGCUGUUCUGCUUGCAACGGAAAGCCGGCCUUAUGCUGGCUGAGCGCAUUGAUGCUCGUUUUACUGAUUUGUUGGCCGCGGGGCCCCCUUGAUCCCCCGCCGCUGUGUCCGCUCACGAGUGCACCUGGGAGUUGCCUCGUGGGUUGGCGCGGUGGUGGGAGCUCAUCCGAGCCCCGCCGCGCCCCCUAACCUUUCCUCCCCCGCCGUUGAUGGUUGUCGGGGCCUUGCGUGUGUCUGCAUGAGUGUGUGUGCGUGUGCUCCGGGCAUCGUGUGGACCCCGUUGCGUUUUUGGGCUGCCCUUGCUUUUACACUUGAUUCGCGUGGUCGUGCCGUUUUUUACGUUUUUACUUUGGCUCUCACUACUACUCGCAUUGCACGUUUGCUUGUAUGUCUGUGCCGCCUGUUUGCCGUUUGAGUCCGCCACGCCUUACUGCCGCUCGCCCAUUUCCUGUGUGUGCUUCCCCCUGCGCGCGCGGCUCUGGCGUGGCUUGCAUUGCUGAGCGAUUAGGUGAGUUCGCGGGGUCCCGGUUUCGCGCCGCAGCAGCUAAGCUAGCCACCUCGACGCAUGCACUCAGCUUCUUUACCAACGAGCCUUACUUAUCACCACUACUACUCCAGACUACUUGCUUUCAAUAGGAACUUAGUUUUUAGCGUUAGCCGCCACGGAAACACGGGGGAGCCAGCAGCCUGCCGCUGGCGAAACAACGGUAUGGAAUGCGUCGCGUGUGCCCGCUGUACCUCUGGACGUCGGCACUUCACUUCAUAUUUGAUACACACCAUCCCAUGGAUGGCUACCCCCCACCUCCCUCCCCCCACCUCCAACCCCCCACCUCCCUCCCCCCGCCUCCCUCCCCCCACCUCCAACCCCCCACCUCCCUCCCCCCAC
rnacentral:lncRNA from 1 species